rnacentral:misc_RNA from 1 species
AUUCUCUUGUGCAUACUCAUAAAAUUAGUCUUGCUUCAGUAGAUACUGAUCUAAUUAACGUUCUCAGCAGUUUGACCAUAGAUACUGCAAUGAUGAUUCUUCAGAAGCUGCACAAGUUGUCAUUCACUUGUUAUGAUCCUCUGUCUUUUAUAAAGAAACAAUUACAUGUUCCAGGAAGAAACCUUAAGAAGCCUUCCAUGUCAUCACGCAAAAACUACACAGAUCAUAAUAUAACGAAUUGUCAUAGGGCCUUAAUUACACCAUCAAAAAUUUACUGCUUGGGUCCUGAGCUUGAAACCUCUAACUAUGUUGUAAAAAACUUUGCAUCGUAUGCU